rnacentral:rRNA from 1 species
GACGAACGCUGGCGGCGUGCCUAAUACAUGCAAGUCGAACGCUGAAGAGAGGAGCUUGCUCUUCUUGGAUGAGUUGCGAACGGGUGAGUAACGCGUAGGUAACCUGCCUUGUAGCGGGGGAUAACUAUUGGAAACGAUAGCUAAUACCGCAUAACAAUAGGUGACACAUGUCAUUUAUUUGAAAGGGGCAAUUGCUCCACUACAAGAUGGACCUGCGUUGUAUUAGCUAGUAGGUGAGGUAACGGCUCACCUAGGCGACGAUACAUAGCCGACCUGAGAGGGUGAUCGGCCACACUGGGACUGAGACACGGCCCAGACUCCUACGGGAGGCAGCAGUAGGGAAUCUUCGGCAAUGGGGGCAACCCUGACCGAGCAACGCCGCGUGAGUGAAGAAGGUUUUCGGAUCGUAAAGAUCUGUUGUAAGUCAAGAACGAGUGUGAGAGUGGAAAGUUCACACUGUGACGGUAGCUUACCAGAAAGGGACGGCUAACUACGUG